rfam:Triticum aestivum genome assembly, contig: Triticum_aestivum_CS42_TGACv1_scaffold_034508_1BL
GUAGUAUUCCCUCCGUCCCAAAAUUCUUGUCUUACAUUUGUUUAGAUACGGAUGUAUCUAACACUAAAAUGUAACUAGAUACAUCCAUAUUUAGAAAAAUUCAAGACACGAAUUUUGGGACGGAGGGAGUACAAA